CCUACGGGUUGCAGCAGUGGGGAAUAUUGCACAAUGGGCGCAAGCCUGAUGCAGCCAUGCCGCGUGUAUGAAGAAGGCCUUCGGGUUGUAAAGUACUUUCAGCGAGGAGGAAGGCAUUAAGGUUAAUAACCUUGGUGAUUGACGUUACUCGCAGAAGAAGCACCGGCUAACUCCGUGCCAGCAGCCGCGGUAAUACGGAGGGUGCAAGCGUUAAUCGGAAUUACUGGGCGUAAAGCGCAUGCAGGCGGUUUGUUAAGUCGGAUGUGGAAUCCCUGGGCUCAACCUGGGAACUGCAUUCGAAACUGGCAAGCUUGAGUCUUGUAGAGGGGGUAGAAUUCCAGGUGUAGCGGUGAAAUGCGUAGAGAUCUGGAGGAAUACCGGUGGCGAAGGCGGCCCCCUGGACAAAGACUGACGCUCAGGUGCGAAAGCGUGGGGAGCAAACAGGAUUAGAUACCCUAGUAGU
rnacentral:rRNA from 1 species